AGUUAAUGAACUUGUUUAAGUAUUUGUUUUGAAAACAAAAAAAAGAAAAUAUCCUUCUUAUUAACUU
rnacentral:tRNA from 1 species